UACGGGGGGGGCAAGCGUUGUUCGGAAUUACUGGGCGUAAAGGGCUCGUAGGCGGCCAACUAAGUCGGAUGUGAAAUCCCCAGGCUUAACCUGGGAACUGCAUCCGAUACUGGAUGGCUUGAAUCCGGGAGAGGGAUGCAGAAUUCCAGGUGUAGCGGUGAAAUGCGUAGAUAUCUGGAGGAAUACCGGUGGCGGAGGCGGCAUCCUGGGCCGGAAUUGGCGCUGAGUGAGCGAAAGCCAGGGGAGCAAACGGG
rnacentral:rRNA from 1 species